GGCGACGUAGCCAAGUGGUAAGGCAGGGGUCUGCAAAAUCCCGAUCGCGAGUUCGAUUCUCGCCGUCGCCUCCA
rnacentral:tRNA from 1 species